rnacentral:rRNA from 1 species
GCGGCAGGCCUAACACAUGCAAGUCGAGCGCACCUUCGGGUGAGCGGCGGACGGGUUAGUAACGCGUGGGAACAUACCCUUUUCUACGGAAUAGCCUCGGGAAACUGAGAGUAAUACCGUAUAAGCCCUUCGGGGGAAAGAUUUAUCGGGAAAGGAUUGGCCCGCGUUAGAUUAGAUAGUUGGUGGGGUAAUGGCCUACCAAGUCUACGAUCUAUAGCUGGUUUUAGAGGAUGAUCAGCAACACUGGGACUGAGACACGGCCCAGACUCCUACGGGAGGCAGCAGUGGGGAAUCUUAGACAAUGGGCGCAAGCCUGAUCUAGCCAUGCCGCGUGUGUGAUGAAGGUCUUAGGAUCGUAAAGCACUUUCGCCAGGGAUGAUAAUGACAGUACCUGGUAAAGAAACCCGGCUAA